AAAAAUAUUCAAAUCACAUGAAAUUUUGAUAGAAAAUUCUUUAUACCAUAUAAAACAAGAUUAAUAACUUUGAUCUAAAAUUUUAAUGUCAUAUCAUCAUAUUUUGUAAGAUUUUUAUUUUCAGCCAUUGAUUUUGAGCCCCUUCGAUCACUAGGCAAAUCAUAUCGAAAAAUCGCGAAAUUUAUUUUCUAGAUACUUCAAAUACUCUA
rnacentral:lncRNA from 1 species